AACGAACGCUGGCGGCGCGCCUAACACAUGCAAGUCGAACGAGAAGGCGUAGCAAUACGCUUGUAGAGUGGCGAACGGGUGAGUAAUACGUGGGUGACCUACCCUCGAGUGGGGAAUAACCCGCCGAAAGGCGGGCUAAUGCCGCGUACGCUUCCGUCCUCACGGGGACGGAAGGAAAGCUGUACCGUGGGUACGGCGCUCAAGGAUGGGCUCACGUCCUAUCAGCUUGUUGGUAGGGUAACGGCCACCAAGGCUACGACGGGUAGCUGGUCUGAGAGGACGAUCAGCCACACUGGCACUGCGACACGGGCCAGACUCCUACGGGAGGCAGCAGUGAGGAAUAUUGCGCAAUGGGCGAAAGCCUGACGCAGCGACGCCGCGU
rnacentral:rRNA from 1 species